UGGUUCCUCUUCCUCCAAGAUACAGAACUUCUCCAAAACACUCACACACAACACAGCUCUCCUCCAUCCAAAGGACAGGUUUCUGGCACUUUUGCACUGUUUGAAAAGAGGCUCUCCAAGGAGCUGACAAAUCCCUCGCAGGCUUUUACUCCAAGAGAGCCGUGCUGUACAUACUGUCUGAAUUUGGAGACUGCAGUCUUACAGAAUAUUGAGCAAUUCCCUGCAGGGUUCCCAAGAGCAUCCUUAAUUGCUGGUGCUUUUGAACUGGUGGUGGGAGGAGCAGAAAGUCUUCCCAUCUUACAAUGUGAGAAAAAGCGAAAAUUCCCAUCAGAAGUGACUCAUCAACAUUAAUCAUAUAUACACCAGAUUGAAAGGCACUCAGAACAUGGAGUCUGAAUCCCAGCCUCAGUUAAGCAAAUGAGAAGCAAAUUUCUCAGUGCUAUUGUAUCCUUUUAACUGCUGUAUCUGUACAGUUCUGCACAAUGAAGCUGAUGAACAUAAAUUUAUUGUUUCUAGCACUGAACUUUUACAGAGAAGUGCUGCUGAAUCUUUUGGAAGAACAAGCAGCUGAGUAGCAUGGAACUGCCUGUGUCUUGAAAUGAAUAAGCACCAGUGUAAAGAUUUUCACAUGUGAAACAUUCACAUUUACAUGACUUACCACCUGGUCUGUGCAUUAAAAUUAAUAUCCUUGUAAUUUAACCAAGUAGAUGA
rnacentral:lncRNA from 1 species